rnacentral:misc_RNA from 1 species
GAUGAAGAACGUAGCGAAAUGCGAUACGUAAUGUGAAUUGCAGAAUUCAGUGAAUCAACGAGUCUUUGAACGCACAUUGCGCCCCCUGGUAUUCCGGGGGGCAUGCCUGUCCGAGCGUCAUUGCUGCCCUCAAGCACGGCUUGUGUGUUGGGCCUCCGUCCUCCUCCCGGGGGACGGGCCCGAAAGGCAGCGGCGGCACCGCGUCCGGUCCUCGAGCGUAUGGGGCUUCGUCACCCGCUCUUGUAGGCCCGGUCGGCGCUUGCCGACACAUCAAUCUUUUUUCCAGGUUGACCUCGGAUCAGGUAGGGAUACCCGCUGAACUUAAGCAUAUCAAUAAGCGGAGGA